rnacentral:tRNA from 2 species
GGAGGCGUGUCCGAACUGGUAAGGAGCCGGUCUCGAAAACCGGUGGGCCUUACGGCCCUUGUGGGUUCGAGUCCCACCGCCUCCGCCA